CUUGGAUCCGCUAUAAUGUCACUUGAUACAACAGUAGCACCACUGAAAGCUUAUAGUAAAUGAAUGAAUAUAAAUAAAUAAAUAAAUAGACUCUUUUACAGGUACAGGUUAAGGUUUGGAACUUUUUUUGCAAUAAUCAAACACCUGGAGACAGGCAGAAGCCACAGUCCCCAUUCAUCACUCAUUAUAUGGAAAGUCUGAAGUCGUUGUCUUUGGCGUUUGUCUGGACAAACUAAAUGAGUACUGACAGAUGCUGGUGAACCAGACAACUGCUCCAAUAUAUAAACAAUUUAAAAAAAAAAUAAAGAGGAGGAAGGGAAGAUGGAGUGAAAUAAUGAAACCACCUCAUUAGCAAGGAAAAGCCUUAAUCCCACAAGACAACACAUUUGCAUGUUUUCCCAGUAGCCCCCACUGCAAAUGACAGCUGAAAGAUGCAGUGGAGGGAAAUUAUGCAGUCAAAAGUUCAGCAUCAAGGAAAACAUCAGGAGGAUUAUCUGUCUCAUGGUUUCAGGCUUGACAGUAUGUGACCAGGCUUUAUAGAGCAAAAUUUGAAGAAAAAUGUUAGAAUGUGGUCCCUCUAGAAAUUGUAUUCAUGCAGCUGUGAAAAAAAGACUGAUUGUUCAAUCAUUAGUCAAAAGUCAUUUGAAUAUCAACUCACAACUUGCAGACAAAGGAGCUCGCGAUGCAAGUUAGACUGCACAUCCUUAGUUCGCUAAAAAAUUAAAAAUUUAAUGUACCACUGGUCAAAACUUUGGUACCGCUUUAAAAAAAACCAAAAAAAAAAAAAAACCAUAGUGCAGCAUAAAAAGGCCUCAAAGUCCACACACAAUUUCACCUACCAACAGCUUCACCAAGUUUCACUUCAUGCAAGUUAUAACACAAUCCAGGGGAUAAGUCGAUCAUUAAUAUUAAGUCUACAAUUAAGAGAAGAUUUCAUAAAGGCAAAUAAAAUUAUUAUUUAAAACAGACUUUACUAAAAGAUGCACGCCAUAGGAUUGGACUUCAAGAAGUUGAAGACGAAGAAGUCGAAGAAGAAAAAUGGUGCACAUUGUUUUGUGGGGAGUUCUACCCCCGUCCAUCAUGGAUACUUGCAUGCAAUUGACAUAUAGGCCUGUUUAAAUGCAUAUCAGAAUAUCAUUUUCACCAGUUUCACAGAUCAGUGUUACAUUUCUAGUCAGCUAAAAGUCUCAGUAAAUCUUGUUUUCUCAAAACACUGUUUUAUGUGUCCAAUCUUUAUUCAAAUAGAACAAAACUGUUUUAACCCUUUCCUCUUAUAAAUGCAACCUCCUCUGGACCCUUGAUAUCACUGACACAUCAGCA
ensembl:lncRNA